UUGGUUAAGUUAGAAAGGGCGCACGGUGGAUGCCUUGGCACUAGGAGCCGAAGAAGGACGGGACUAACACCGAUAUGCUUUGGGGAGCUGUACGUAAGCGUUGAUCCAGAGAUUUCCGAAUGGGGGAACCCACUAUCUUUAGUCGGAUAGUAUCCUUACGUGAAUACAUAGCGUGAGGAAGGCAGACCCAGGGAACUGAAACAUCUAAGUACCUGGAGGAAGAGAAAGAAAAAUCGAUUUCCUGAGUAGCGGCGAGCGAAACGGAAAGAGCCCAAACCAAGAAGCUUGCUUCUUGGGGUUGUAGGACACUCUAUACGGAGUUACAAAAGAAAGUUAUAAAUGAAGCGGUCUGGAAAGGCCCGCCAAAGACGGUAACAGCCCGGUAGUUGAAAUGGCUUUCCCUCCAGAGUGGAUCCUGAGUACGGCGGAACACGUGAAAUUCCGUCGGAAUCCGGGAGGACCAUCUCCCAAGGCUAAAUACUCCCUAGUGACCGAUAGUGAACCAGUACCGUGAGGGAAAGGUGAAAAGCACCCCGGAAGGGGAGUGAAACAGUUCCUGAAACCGUGUGCCUACAAGUAGUUAGAGCCCGUUAAUGGGUGAUAGCGUGCCUUUUGUAGAAUGAACCGGCGAGUUACGAUUUGUUGCAAGGUUAAGCGGAAAAAGCGGAGCCGUAGCGAAAGCGAGUCUGAAUAGGGCGCAUAAGUAACAGGUCGUAGACCCGAAACCAGGUGAUCUACCCAUGUCCAGGAUGAAGGUAAGGUAAUACUUACUGGAGGUCCGAACCCACGCACGUUGAAAAGUGCGGGGAUGAGGUGUGGGUAGCGGAGAAAUUCCAAUCGAACUUGGAGAUAGCUGGUUCUCUCCGAAAUAGCUUUAGGGCUAGCCUCGAGGUAAAGAGUCAUGGAGGUAGAGCACUGUUUGGACUAGGGGCCCUUCUCGGGUUACCGAAUUCAGAUAAACUCCGAAUGCCAUGUACUUAUACUCGGGAGUCAGACUGCGAGUGAUAAGAUCCGUAGUCGAAAGGGAAACAGCCCAGACCACCAGUUAAGGUCCCCAAAUAUAUGUUAAGUGGAAAAGGAUGUGGGGUUGCUUAGACAACCAGGAUGUUGGCUUAGAAGCAGCCACCAUUGAAAGAGUGCGUAAUAGCUCACUGGUCGAGUGACCCCGCGCCGAAAAUGUACCGGGGCUAAACAUAUUACCGAAACUGUGGAUGAACCUCUUUAGAGGUUCGUGGUAGGAGAGCGUUCUAAGGGCGGUGAAGUCAGACCGGAAGGACUGGUGGAGCGCUUAGAAGUGAGAAUGCCGGUAUGAGUAGCGAAAGAAGGGUGAGAAUCCCUUCCACCGAAUAUCUAAGGUUUCCUGAGGAAGGCUCGUCCGCUCAGGGUUAGUCGGGACCUAAGCCGAGGCCGAUAGGCGUAGGCGAUGGACAACAGGUAGAGAUUCCUGUACCAGUGCUAAUUGUUUAACCGAUGGGGUGACACAGAAGGAUAGGGAAUCGCACGAAUGGAAAUGUGCGUCCAAGCAGUGAGUGUGAGAAGUAGGCA
rnacentral:rRNA from 1 species